CAGAUACUUCUCCUCUCGUUCUUUAGCGCCCUCACAGGUUGGGAGGAAGAUUCAUCACCAGAACUCAUUUUUCCGUCACAGAGGCCAUGCAUGACAGUGAAGGGAUUUCUCUCACACCUGAGAUGCUGAAGGCUGAGUUUCCAAUGAUUGAAAGCCUACCAACAACAGAACAGCUUAAAGAUAGAUCAGCAAAAGACGAGAGAGAUGUAAGAGAACAGCAACUGGAGCAAUAUCUACAAUCCCAGAACAAUAAACUUGGAACAAAAGUUAAAACUCAGCUGAAGCAACUGAAGUUGGUGGCCAGGCCUGAUGGAAAAGAUGAAAUAUAUGACUGGCUGAUGUCUUACUGCAAUACUGACUAAAGGUUGUUUAAUGCUAAUAUCACUUUUUCUUAAUGUGUCUUUUUAUAGCAGAUUAUAAAAUAUUACAUUCAAAAUUACUGAGGAAAAUGUAACUGAUUGAGUGUUUAUAUAUUAGCUGUCAUAUUUAAAUAGGCAUUUGUUUACAUUACUGUUUUAAUACAUGUUUUUGAUUAAACUUAUUCAGCAGCAGUUUUUAUACAAUAUAUAGCUGUAAUACAUGCUGUAUAUUGUCUUGCAUCAUUGCUUACUAUAAAGGGAUUAUUAAAAAAAAAAACUUGGCCUUUUAAAGUUUUUUUUUUUUUUUUUUUUUUUUUUUUUUUUAAUUGUCCAUAUAUUGUAGUCUGUUUUCUAUAGUUUGAGCCCCAUCUAGCUGUUGAUCAUAAGAAUAAUAAAACAAAUUAAAAAGCUGUACUGCUUACAAUAGCUCUCAUGAAUGCUCAGUGUGAUUUAUAGCAGCAUGUACGUUUGUAUUAUUACUGUGACUGUCGAUAACAC